rnacentral:rRNA from 1 species
CCUACGGGAGACAGCAGUGGGGAAUAUUGCACAAUGGGGGGAACCCUGAUGCAGCGACGCCGCGUGAGUGAAGAAGUGUUUCGGUAUGUAAAGCUCUAUCAGCAGGGAAGAAGAUGACGGUACCUGACCAAGAAGCCCCGGCUAACUACGUGCCAGCAGCCGCGGUAAUACGUAGGGGGCAAGCGUUAUCCGGAUUUACUGGGUGUAAAGGGGGCGUAGACGGCGAUGCAAGUCUGGUGUGAAAGCCCGGGGCCCAACCCCGGGACUGCCUUGGAAACUGUGGGGCUGGAGUACAGGAGAGGUAAGCGGAAUUCCUAGUGUAGCGGUGAAAUGCGUAGAUAUUAGGAGGAACACCAGUGGCGAAGGCGGCUUACUGGACUGUAACUGACGUUGAGGCCCGAAGGCGUGGGGAGCAAACAGGAUUAGAUACCCCUGUAGUC